rnacentral:rRNA from 1 species
AAAUUGAAGAGUUUGAUCAUGGCUCAGAUUGAACGCUGGCGGCAGGCCUAACACAUGCAAGUCGAACGGUAACAGGAAGCAGCUUGCUGCUUCGCUGACGAGUGGCGGACGGGUGAGUAAUGUCUGGGAAGCUGCCUGAUGGAGGGGGAUAACUACUGGAAACGGUGGCUAAUACCGCAUAACGUCGCAAGACCAAAGAGGGGGACCUUCGGGCCUCUUGCCAUCAGAUGUGCCCAGAUGGGAUUAGCUUGUUGGUGAGGUAACGGCUCACCAAGGCGACGAUCCCUAGCUGGUCUGAGAGGAUGACCAGCCACACUGGAACUGAGACACGGUCCAGACUCCUACGGGAGGCAGCAGUGGGGAAUAUUGCACAAUGGGCGCAAGCCUGAUGCAGCCAUGCCGCGUGUAUGAAGAAGGCCUUCGGGUUGUAAAGUACUUUCAGCGGGGAGGAAGGUGUUGUGGUUAAUAACCGCAGCAAUUGACGUUACCCGCAGAAGAAGCACCGGCUAACUCCGUGCCAGCAGCCGCGGUAAUACGGAGGGUGCAAGCGUUAAUCGGAAUUACUGGGCGUAAAGCGCACGCAGGCGGUCUGUCAAGUCGGAUGUGAAAUCCCCGGGCUCAACCUGGGAACUGCAUUCGAAACUGGCAGGCUUGAGUCUUGUAGAGGGGGGUAGAAUUCCAGGUGUAGCGGUGAAAUGCGUAGAGAUCUGGAGGAAUACCGGUGGCGAAGGCGGCCCCCUGGACAAAGACUGACGCUCAGGUGCGAAAGCGUGGGGAGCAAACAGGAUUAGAUACCCUGGUAGUCCACGCCGUAAACGAUGUCUACUUGGAGGUUGUGCCCUUGAGGCGUGGCUUCCGGAGCUAACGCGUUAAGUAGACCGCCUGGGGAGUACGGCCGCAAGGUUAAAACUCAAAUGAAUUGACGGGGGCCCGCACAAGCGGUGGAGCAUGUGGUUUAAUUCGAUGCAACGCGAAGAACCUUACCUGGUCUUGACAUCCACGGAAGUUUUCAGAGAUGAGAAUGUGCCUUCGGGAACCGUGAGACAGGUGCUGCAUGGCUGUCGUCAGCUCGUGUUGUGAAAUGUUGGGUUAAGUCCCGCAACGAGCGCAACCCUUAUCCUUUGUUGCCAGCGGUUAGG